AGUAGUUGGGAUUACAGGCGCAGAGGAUGCACGCUCAGGGAACCACCGCACCUGGCCAAUAUUUUCUCAUCUUAUCCUGACAUCUAUUGUUGCCGUUGAGAAGUCUGCUGUCAGCCAGUACUGGCAAUCAGUAUUUUCUCUGUGACUGCUGUUUCUUUCUUUUCUUCUUCUUUUUCUUUCUUUCUUUUUUUUUGUUUUGUUUUGUUUUGUUUUAAAAUAUUUUGUUAAUGGCGAAAGGUUAGGGUAAGUAGAAACUUUUUGGAGGCCUUUUUGGCACGAUCUAUCAAAAUUUUAAAGCUAGCAUUCUUGUUUCCAGGAAUAGAUCCUGAAGAUCUGAUUGCACAAGGGCAUGGAGCUAUGUGCAGAAGGAAGUUCACAUGUAGUUCUUUGUAAUCAUCAAACCUGGACAGGACAUGGGGCGGCCCGCGCAGGAGCACACUCACUGGGAAGGAUGAGGCGGCUCCCUGACGCUACGGGGUUCCGUGCACCUGCCCCGGCCUGCUGGGCCCUGAGGGGUCCUGACAGGAACUGCCUGCGGUGUGUGAGGAAGCUGCUGCUGACGUGGCCCUAGCCGUUACACCCCGCCGUGGAGCAG
rnacentral:lncRNA from 1 species